GUUCUCUCUUUGGCAGAACAUAUACUAAAAUUGUAAUGAUAGAGAGAAGAUUAGCAUGACCCUGGUGCAAGGCUAACACAAAUUCAUGAAGCAUUACAUAUUAAA
rnacentral:snRNA from 1 species